AACGCACAUUGCGCCCCCUGGUAUUCCGGGGGGCAUGCCUGUCCGAGCGUCAUUGCUGCCCUCAAGCCCGGCUUGUGUGUUGGGUCCUCGUCCCCCGGCUCCCGGGGGACGGGCCCGAAAGGCAGCGGCGGCACCGCGUCCGGUCCUCGAGCGUAUGGGGCUUUGUCUUCCGCUCUGCAGGCCCGGCCGGCGCCCGCCGACGCAUAACAACUUUUUUUCCAGGUUGACCUCGGAUCAGGUAGGGAUACCCGCUGAACUUAA
rnacentral:misc_RNA from 1 species